AACGAACGCUGGCGGCAUGCCUAACACAUGCAAGUCGAACGAGACCUUCGGGUCUAGUGGCGCACGGGUGCGUAACGCGUGGGAACCUGCCCUUAGGUUCGGAAUAACUCCCCGAAAGGGGUGCUAAUACCGGAUAAUGUCUUCGGGCCAAAGAUUUAUCGCCUUUGGAUGGGCCCGCGUUGGAUUAGCUAGUUGGUAGGGUAAAAGCCUACCAAGGCGACGAUCCAUAGCUGGUCUGAGAGGAUGAUCAGCCACACUGGGACUGAGACACGGCCCAGACUCCUACGGGAGGCAGCAGUGGGGAAUAUUGGACAAUGGGCGAAAGCCUGAUCCAGCAAUGCCGCGUGAGUGAUGAAGGCCUUAGGGUUGUAAAGCUCUUUUACCAGGGAUGAUAAUGACAGUACCGGGAGAAUAAGCUCCGGCUAACUCCGUG
rnacentral:rRNA from 1 species